GGGCUCUUAGCACAGUGGUUAGCGCGCACGCUUUGCAUCUUUGUGCUUGCGUGAGGUCGAGGGUUCAACUCCCUCAGAGUCCA